rnacentral:rRNA from 1 species
AUGGCGGCCCCGUGGUUGCUGCUCCUGCUCUGCGUGGCCGGAGGCGUCCCUCGUGUUCGUUGCCAGAGCGCGCCCGACAGCACUGAUGUCAUCAGCAUCGACUGCGGCCUCUCGGAGCAGAGCAGCUACGUGGACGAUGCCACCGAGCUGGCCUACACCUCGGACGCCGGCCUCAUCGACGCCGGCUCCAACUACAACGUCUCGGCCGAGUACAUCGACCAGUCCCACUGGAGAAGCCACCGGCAGGUGCUCAGCCUCCGCAGCUUCCCCGGGCCACCGGGGCGGCGCGGCUGCUACACCCUCCCGUCCUUCGUGGCGGGGACGUCCAAGUACCUGGUCCGGGCCACCUUCAUGUACGGCGACUACGACGGUCUCAACAAGCCUCCCAUCUUCGACCUCUACCUCGGCGUCAACUUCUGGAAGACGGUGAACAUCUCGAGGCCCGACGCGGUGCACGUCGCGGAGGUCAUCGCCGUCGUCCCGGACGACUCCGUGCAGGUCUGCCUGGUGAACACGCGCUCCGGGACGCCCUUCAUCUCGUCGCUGGAGCUGAGGCCGCUCAAGGACACGCUGUACCCGCAGGCGAACGCGACGCAGGGGCUGGUGCUCCUCGGCCGGCACAACUUCGGCGCCGCCGAUCUGAUCAGGUACCCGAACGACACGUACGACCGUGCGUGGACCCCGUACACCAACCCGGAGGACCAGUGGACUACCAUCUUGACGUCGUCCAGGGUGGCCAUGGAGGUGGAGGAUCGCAAGCCGCUCUACGACGUGCCCUGGGUGGUGAUGCAGACUGCCGUCCGGCCGAGCAACACCACCAGGAACGUCAUGUGGUUCCCCUGGGACGCCGAGCCCAACCACGUCUACCCCAUGCCUGGGCUCCUGCCUGUCUUCUAUUUGGCGGAGCUGGAGACCGUGGACAGCAAGCAGGAGCGGCGCCUGUUCCUCAUCAGCCUCAAGCGGCGCCUGUUCCUCAUCAGCCUCAAGCGGCCCAACUCCUCUGCUUCGUGGCCCAUAGGCGACUUUGAUUACCUUGUCACCACCGUCGUCUCCAGGACUACCGGACGACCCGCCCCGUUCAUCAGCCCCAAGGAGAACCUCGUCAUACUAGGAGCCGCCAACGCCACGACACUGCGACCGAUCAUGGAGAUCAACUCCACAAUACUACCGCCAUUCAUCAACGCCGCAGAGCUUUUCACCCCUAUUUCCACCGCCGGGGUUGGGACCGACGCUCAGGAUGUAUCUGCCAUCACUGCAAUCAAGGCUAAGUACCAGUUGAUCAAGAACUGGGUGGGUGACCCAUGCGCCCCAAAGAACCUAGUGUGGGAUGGGCUGAACUGCAGCUAUCCCAUCUCCAGACCUCAGAGAAUCACAAGCGUAAACAUGUCAUUUGGCGGUUUGAGUGGUGAUAUAUCAUCACACUUUGCCAAUCUCAAAGCUAUCCAGUACCUGGAUUUGUCACAUAAUAACUUGACUGGAUCAAUUCCUGAUGGUCUUUCACAACUACCCUCUCUCGUGCUACUAGAUUUGACAGGCAACAAGCUUAGUGGAACGAUUCCGUUCGGCCUUCUGAUACGAAUUCAAGAUGGCAACCUAACUCUAAGAUAUGACCACAGUCCAAACCUUUGCAGCAACAGCAGUUCUUGCCAGCCUAUGCAAGCGAACCGAAACUCUAAAACCACCGGCUACAUUGCUGUUGUUGUAGUGGCAUCCGUGGUUGUAGUAGUACUAGUGGUACUACUACUCUUUUUCGUAAUAAGAAGAAAACAAGAACCGGCAAAUGUACAUAAUGAGGAAAGUGACGUGCAAUCGCGCAAUCGUCGAUUCACAUACACGGAACUGAAGGUGGUAACAUCCAACUUCCGGCGAGUGCUUGGGGAAGGAGGGUUUGGCCUCGUAUAUGAUGGCUUCUUGGAGGAUGGUACUCAAGUUGCAGUCAAGCUGCGGUCUCAAUCUUCCAAUCAGGGUGUAAAAGAGUUCUUGACAGAGGCACAAAACUUAACAGGGAUUCAUCACAGGAAUCUAGUCAGCCUGAUUGGCUAUUGCAAGGAUGGGGAGUACCUGGCCCUUGUAUAUGAGUAUAUGUCCGAAGGAGACCUCCAACAUAAACUCAGAGGGAGAGAUCACGAUGAUGGAUGUUUAACCUGGAGACAGAGGCUCCAUAUUGUACUGGAGUCCGCGCAAGGGCUCGAGUAUCUGCACAAGGCAUGUAGCCCGCCUUUCAUACACCGGGAUGUGAAGACGUCAAACAUCCUACUGGAUGCAAAUCUAAAAGCUAAGGUUGCUGAUUUUGGCUUGAUGAAGGCUUUCAAUCAGGAUGGUGAUACCCAUGUAUCCACAGCCAGGGUGGUUGGCACACCAGGCUACCUUGCCCCCGAGUACGCAACAGUCCUAGAGCUCACUGAAAAGAGCGACGUGUACAGCUUUGGUGUCGUGUUGCUGGAGGUGAUCACGGGGAAGCCUCCAUUCGUGCAAAUCCCGCAGGCGCAACCCAUUCAUAUUGUCAAGUGGGUGCAGCAGCGCCUUUCAUCUGGGGACAUCGAGGGCGUGGUGGAUGCACGCAUGCAAGGCAACUAUGAUGUCAACGGCAUGUGGAAGGUCGCCGACCUUGCGCUCGAGUGCAUGACGCAAACUCCCACGAAGCGACCGACGAUGACCCGCGUGAUGGCGCAGUUGCUGGAGUGCCUUGAACUUGAGGAGAGCCGCGGCACCGUCUACACCAGCGUCAGUGGCGACAUGAAUGGCAUCGUCAACACCGCUAGCACCAGCGAUGAUCCCAGCUCAAGUUCUAUUAUGUACGCCACCACCGACCAGCCCGCCUCUGAUGUCGCCCAGAGCAGUGCAGCGCUCAGGAUGGGGCCUAACUCUAGCAGGGCCUCAACGGUGGCCGCCGGUCCUGCAGCACGAUGA